GACGAACGCUGGCGGCGGGCUUAACACAUGCAAGUCGAACGGAAGGGCCGUGCGUUCGUGGGGUGCUCGAGUGGCGAAGGGGGGAGGAACACGUGAGUAACCUGCCCUUGACUUUGGGAUAACUUCAGGAAAGUGGGGCUAAGACCGGAUAGGAGCUGCUGUAGCGGGGGGGGGGUUGGAAAGUUUCGGCGGGGGGGGCUGGACGCGCGGCUUAUCAGCUGGUUGGUGGGGUAGUGGCUUACCAAGGCUUUGACGGGUAGCCGGCCUGAGAGGGUGACCGGCCACCUUGGGCCUGCGAUACGGCCCAGACUCCUACGGUAGGCAGCAGUGGGGAAUCUUGCCCAAUGGGCGGACGCCUGAUGCAGCAACCCCGCGUGCGUGAUGCCGGCCUUCGGGUUGUAAACCGCUUUCGCCUGUGACGAAGCGUGAGUGACGGUACUGGGUAAAGAAGCACCGGCUAACUACGUG
rnacentral:rRNA from 1 species